GUAAUAUCACAGGCAAAAAUGGCUUCAGUCCUGAACUCUCCUUUGUGGAAACCUGUCUUCAGGCAUCAGAUUUGUCCAGAGUUGGAAUUAGAAGCAAGCUGGCCCACUCACCCACACCAGGAUAGGAAGGAGGUAUUUACUCUUCUGUCAUCUUUACAUCUGGGUGGAAACUGUUUACUAAUGUCUUAUCACCCCAUUAAACUGUUAGUGCCUUGAGGCAGAAACUGUUCCUUGUUAUUUGUUAUCCCACUGUGUACCCCAGGGACCAGUCAGCAAUGGGUGUUCAAAAAUAAGGAAUGACUCCAGUGAAAUAUAGUAGGUAUUCAGUAAAUCUUUCUUGAUGGCAUUAUCAAUCAAACAAGUGGAGUCUGUUUCUAGUGCCUACUGAGUCACACUUAAGAGUAAAUGGUUUUUGCUAUUCCUUUUGUUCUCCAUACAGCUGUAGCACUUUAUUUAACUGUUCAUAAUAUUUUAAAAACUAAAAAAUUUGCCCUCUGUUUCUACUUUCCAUCUCUCCUUCCCUUUUUCUAUUAUUUCUCCUUCCUUCCUUCUUUCCCUCCCUUUCUUUCCCCUGCAAGUUAUUCCAUGGUCAAUUGCCAAAGUCAGUAGCUCUUUCUCCAUUUCUACUCUCCUUUAUCUCCCUGUUAAAUCAAACUCCUUCAGACCCUCUCUUUUUUUGAUUCCAUGAUAGUCCACUGUCUUCUCUACAUCCAACUCUCUGUGUGCCUCCUCCGUUGGCCUUUCUCAUUCCUUCUUCUCUAUAAGGUAGGCUAUAUUCAGGCUUCCUCCCCUUUUCUACCAUCCACCAAAACUUUAUUCUCUCUUUUCUCUUUAACUGUCCCAUCUGUGGGAAUAAUUCCUUAAUAUCAGUUUCCAGCCCUCUUUUUUCUCCCAGACUCCAGUAUCUUCUCCAUAUCUUCAUCUUCCUGUUAGGCGUUUUCAUUUUAAUGUCCUGACUCCCAUUAACUCUGAAGUAAAAAAACAGAAUGUCUCCUUUACUAACUGCUCACUUCUGUUGUAGUCAUUGUUUGCCCAGGCCCAGAGCCACUGCUCCCUCACAUCCCCUUCAUCCCUGCCCUGCUCUUGCCUUUCCUAUCAGUCAGUUGCAAGCCCUGUAGAUUCUUCCUUAUGGUGUUCAUCUCUGUCCUUCCCUCUGUCUCCAUUUUUAUCCAGGCCCUCAUCACACCUGCAUUAUUACAUUGGUACCUGCCAAGUUUUUUUAAAUCACUGCAUUAUCUUGUCAUUCCACUGCCAAGCACCAUUAAUGGCUCCCCGUUGCCCACAGGGUGAAGUCUAAACUCCUCAGUGUGAAAGUCAAGGCUCUCUACAGUCUCCUUUCACCUUAACUAUCUGACUCUAGUUCCCACCACUCCCCAGCUGAGACUUCAGGCCAGGUCAGUCUCCCCACUGACUCUUAACCUCUGCUAGUGGUUAUAUCCCUCAAGGCCAAGCCUUCCCAUCCUUCAGGGUUCAGCCCNCUGGGUUGGAGAUUAAGAGCUGCCCCAGGCUGUUGACCUUCUCUCUGCUCUCAGGGGUCUUGGCUGGCAGCAAAGGACUAAGCAGGUGUGAUCACUGGCUGAGUAGGUAGUAGGCAGAUGGGCAUCUGAAUUUAGAAAGCUAAGCAGUAGUUUUCUGCCAAUUAUGCUUUUUCAUGAGUGUUGCAGUAAAUUUUGUGUUUCAGUCACACCUUUGUACAUUUCUCCUUCAGUAGUUGUGCACUUGUGGAAAUAGAGACCAGUUUUUGAGUCACAAAGAACAUGUUUACUACUGAAAUGCUUCCUCCUCACUCUAUUUGACCACAUGACAUUUGUCUGUCUCUAGAAAGUGACCUUUAAGGAUGGUCCUCGGCUACAGUUCCUCUUUCACUCUGACAGCAGCAACAAUGAGUGGGGCUACAAAUUCACUGUCACUGCCUAUGGCCUGCCUGAUGUUGCUGUGUCUUGGGGGUUAGAUUUACAACUCCUUGUCUCCCGACUGAUGGGACGCCUCGCCUCCCAGUGCAUGGCACUCAAGUCUACGUAUCGUAAGUUCACAGCCCUGUCCCUUCCUUCUCCUUACAACUGUGUUUAAGAGCAAAACAUGUACUCUCCCUUGUGGCAUCUUCACAUAAGAUCAGGGUAAGGCAUUGAUAAUAUUCCGUUCAGUUUCCUUUAAACCAAGCCAGAAUAAAUUGUCCACUUGACAUCAUUGACAUGAAAUUUCUUUUUUUUUUUUGGUACUGGGCAUUGAACCCAGGGGUGCUUAACCACUGAGCCACAUCCCCUAAAUAAUAGGUAUAUUAUUUAGAGACAGGGUUUUGCUAAGUAGUUUAGGGCCUUGCUAAGUUGCUGAACUUGUGAUCCUCCUGCCACAGCCUCCUGAGCUGCUGGGAUUAUAGGUGUGCACCAUCACUCCCGGCUGACAUGAAGUUUUUUGACUCAGUCUUUGGCCCACAUCACAACGGGUUUUGUGGAUUCCCCCUAUUGAAAGAGAACAAGAGAAAGAGGGAGAUGGAUUUUUUUAGCAACAUCAUAAUAAUGUAUUUUUGGAGGUAGAUUUAGGUAUACUCCAACCAGAAGGCAGAAAAAUAGAAUAAAUUAAUUGUAUAUUGUUUGAGUAAAUAUUUAUGUAUAGAUAUAGAUAUGUGAGUAUGGAUUUGGUCAACUUGUUAUUAAAUUCAAUUUAUAGAACUUGUUAUUAAAUUCUUAUAAGUAAUAAAACUUAUAGAAUAAACCUUUCUAGUAAAUUUAUUUCUGUAUGAUCUCUUGAGUUUUUCCAAUUAUAAAAGUAAAAGCUCAUAGAAAAAUUACAUACUGGAGAAAAAUUGAAGAAAAGUAGAAUCACCCUUACUCCUAACACCCAGAGAUAACUAUUAUCAACAUUUUUAAAAUUCCACCUAAUCUUUAUUUCUGUGUCUAUUUAGAUCUAUGGUGGGUAUUUAAUUAUUUUUUUAAUAAAAUUAAGUUUAUAAAUUGUGAAUGUUUUCCCAUAAUUAAUAUUCUUAAAUGACCUCCUAUUGUGUGCUAGAAGUAGUUUACAUUUGGCUUUCAGUUUAGUAAACAGGUUAAUCACUUCAAAGACACCUUGUAACUGAAGUUAUCCCACAGAACAGCAGCAUUUCAGGACUUGUGGUUUAGGUUAAUCUAUAAUGUGUUUCUCGGAAAUGUGAGUGAAUUUCCUCUUAGGUUUUUUUGUUUUUUUUCUCUCUUUGUUUAACCCUUUUCUUUGUUAGUUCAAAGAAUCUCAGUGUAUUAAGGAAAAAAUAGAACUCUCACAAGUCACCUUCUUUUUCCAGAGUUAGGAAGUAAUAUGGUAAUAUCACAGGCAAAAAUGGCUUCAGUCCUGAACUCUCCUUUGUGGAAACCUGUCUUCAGGCAUCAGAUUUGUCCAGAGUUGGAAUUAGAAGCAAGCUGGCCCACUCACCCACACCAGGAUAGGAAGGAGGUAUUUACUCUUCUGUCAUCUUUACAUCUGGGUGGAAACUGUUUACUAAUGUCUUAUCACCCCAUUAAACUGUUAGUGCCUUGAGGCAGAAACUGUUCCUUGUUAUUUGUUAUCCCACUGUGUACCCCAGGGACCAGUCAGCAAUGGGUGUUCAAAAAUAAGGAAUGACUCCAGUGAAAUAUAGUAGGUAUUCAGUAAAUCUUUCUUGAUGGCAUUAUCAAUCAAACAAGUGGAGUCUGUUUCUAGUGCCUACUGAGUCACACUUAAGAGUAAAUGGUUUUUGCUAUUCCUUUUGUUCUCCAUACAGCUGUAGCACUUUAUUUAACUGUUCAUAAUAUUUUAAAAACUAAAAAAUUUGCCCUCUGUUUCUACUUUCCAUCUCUCCUUCCCUUUUUCUAUUAUUUCUCCUUCCUUCCUUCUUUCCCUCCCUUUCUUUCCCCUGCAAGUUAUUCCAUGGUCAAUUGCCAAAGUCAGUAGCUCUUUCUCCAUUUCUACUCUCCUUUAUCUCCCUGUUAAAUCAAACUCCUUCAGACCCUCUCUUUUUUUGAUUCCAUGAUAGUCCACUGUCUUCUCUACAUCCAACUCUCUGUGUGCCUCCUCCGUUGGCCUUUCUCAUUCCUUCUUCUCUAUAAGGUAGGCUAUAUUCAGGCUUCCUCCCCUUUUCUACCAUCCACCAAAACUUUAUUCUCUCUUUUCUCUUUAACUGUCCCAUCUGUGGGAAUAAUUCCUUAAUAUCAGUUUCCAGCCCUCUUUUUUCUCCCAGACUCCAGUAUCUUCUCCAUAUCUUCAUCUUCCUGUUAGGCGUUUUCAUUUUAAUGUCCUGACUCCCAUUAACUCUGAAGUAAAAAAACAGAAUGUCUCCUUUACUAACUGCUCACUUCUGUUGUAGUCAUUGUUUGCCCAGGCCCAGAGCCACUGCUCCCUCACAUCCCCUUCAUCCCUGCCCUGCUCUUGCCUUUCCUAUCAGUCAGUUGCAAGCCCUGUAGAUUCUUCCUUAUGGUGUUCAUCUCUGUCCUUUCCUCUGUCUCCAUUUUUAUCCAGGCCCUCAUCACACCUGCAUUAUUACAUUGGUACCUGCCAAGUUUUUUUUUUUUUUUUUAAAUCACUGCAUUAUCUUGUCAUUCCACUGCCAAGCACCAUUAAUGGCUCCCCGUUGCCCACAGGGUGAAGUCUAAACUCCUCAGUGUGAAAGUCAAGGCUCUCUACAGUCUCCUUUCACCUUAACUAUCUGACUCUAGUUCCCACCACUCCCCAGCUGAGACUUCAGGCCAGGUCAGUCUCCCCACUGACUCUUAACCUCUGCUAGUGGUUAUAUCCCUCAAGGCCAAGCAUUCCCAUCCUUCAGGGUUCAGCCCUAAUCCCAAGUCCUUCAGAGGCUUUCUUAAUUACUUUAACCUGCCAGGAACUCCUUCCUUUGAGUUCUCAGCACUGGGUGUCCCCUUUAGGCAUUUGGCACUGGAUAAUCUUUUGCUUUAUGGUAGUGUUAGUUUUAAUGCAUUUAAGUUUUAUUUUUAUUUGCCUUUAUUAACCCAUGUACAUCUGUCUGGUCUCCCUAAAAUAGAUUUAAACUUCCUGAGAGUAUGCACCAUUUGUUUAUACUUCUGCUUUAUCUUAGUAGGUGCUCAGUAAAUUUUACUUUUUGAUGAAUAUUUCAAAUGUGAUUUUUUUUUUUCUUGUUCCUAGGUUAAGAGCAUUCCUGAUGAUCCCUGCCGCCAUUUUCUCCUUGAUUUUGCCCAGUCAGAGCCUGCUCAGAACUUCUGUGGGCCAUAUUCAGAACUUUUCAAAGGAUUCAUACAGGCAUGUAGAAAACAGGCCCCAAAGACAGAUAUAGUUGCUGGUUCCACUAUUGAUCAAGCUGUGAACGCCACCUUUGCUGCUCUGGUGUAUCGCACUCCAGACUUAUAUGAGAAGCUGCAAAAAUAUGGUAAC
rnacentral:lncRNA from 1 species